rnacentral:rRNA from 1 species
GACGAACGCUGGCGGCGUGCUUAACACAUGCAAGUCGAGCGGUAAGGCCCUUUCGGGGGUACGACGAGCGGCGAACGGGUGAGUAACACGUGGGUGACCUGCCCUCAGCUCUGGGAUAAGCCUGGGAAACUGGGUCUAAUACUGGAUAUGACUCCACGGUGCAUGUCGUGGGGUGGAAAGCCUUGUGCGGCUGAGGAUGGGCCCGCGGCCUAUC